AACGAACGCUGGCGGCAUGCCUAACACAUGCAAGUCGAACGAGACCUUCGGGUCUAGUGGCGCACGGGUGCGUAACGCGUGGGAACCUGCCCUUAGGUUCGGAAUAACUCCCCGAAAGGGGUGCUAAUACCGGAUAAUGUCUUCGGACCAAAGAUUUAUCGCCUUUGGAUGGGCCCGCGUUGGAUUAGCUAGUUGGUAGGGUAAAAGCCUACCAAGGCGACGAUCCAUAGCUGGUCUGAGAGGAUGAUCAGCCACACUGGGACUGAGACACGGCCCAGACUCCUACGGGAGGCAGCAGUGGGGAAUAUUGGACAAUGGGCGAAAGCCUGAUCCAGUAAUGACGCGUGAGUGAUGAAGGCCUUAGGGUUGUAAAGCUCUUUUACCCGGGAUGAUAAUGACAGUACCGGGAGAAUAAGCUCCGGCUAACUCCGUG
rnacentral:rRNA from 1 species